UUCUGGAACAAGUUCAGAGAUGGAUUAAUACAUGUGGAGCAUCCUGACAUACACUGGUUUCUACGUGAAGACAGCAAUGACGGUAACAGUUGAAGCCAAUUUGUCUAGUCCCUCCAGCGAGCGAAAACUGCCCAGCCUGGCCACAGGACGGAUACGUUCUUCAGAAUCAAAGCCAGUAGAAAUUUGGGACCAAUCUAUGCUGGAAGGCUCCAAGGGUGGCUGGAGAGCUAACAUGCUUGCAAGGACUGCACUGUGGGAGGAAAACCUGAUUAGCUGAGAAGAGAAGCAAGUUUUAUUCCGUCUCAGCCCCACCAAGCCUCUUCUUCAACGCACGGAUGGCAUCCUUGGGACUAAAGGAGAAACAACCAUCUUUAAAGAAAGCUCAGGGAAGCUUUUCACUCCGCAGCUAAAGGGGAUAUCAGAGGCCCCUAACCCCUGGACACAAGCAUGUGUGAACUUAACUAUGAUUACUUGAAACGUGGCAUAGGAAUAUACCCACAAAGUCUUCUACAGUUAUGUGAUGAGACUGGGGAGCAAUUUUCUGCCGCAGAGAAAACAAGUGCCAGAGUGGCCAUCGAAGCGCAGCCAUGCAUGCAGCACCUGCCACUGCUCUGAGCAGCACAAGGAGGACUUCCCACUCCACCGGGUUUGCCCAGGUCGAACCUGACUGCAGCUAGAAACUCUUCAGCCUCGUCCGUCCUCUGAGUGUUUUUGCUGAUCCGUUUGGCAAAGACCCACAUGCGAAGACAAAUUCAGUCUUUCUGGAACUGGGAAUGGGAAAGACAGUGCUACAGCUCUGCAUUAAAAGAAUAAUCUGGGUCUCAGGAUGCAGGUAGGGUGUCUCUAUAUUAAAAAGGUGCUCGGCUCCAGAAUGAACUACUGUGAUGGCUAAAGCGGACGGAGCUUAAAAUGUCUGCGUGCGAGACCAAGGGUUGAUUAGUUUGUUUGUUGGUUGUUUUCGGGGGACGGAGGGGUGCCUUUUUUCUUAAUAACCUUCAAAAUAGGAAAAUAAACACAGAAAAAUAUCAUUCGUGCAAGGCGCAAGAUAAGAAACAAGCACUGUGAAGUCAGGAAACCCCAGCUUUGAGGUCCUCUCCGUCUACAUUUAAUCAGCAAUGCUGGGAAUAUUAAUUUUCCACCCACUGCUCUUGUCAAAUGCAGAGUUCAUUAUAUUUCUCUCCAUAGAUGUAUCCCAUAAAAACAUAAAAGAGGCAACACGGCCAAGUUAACAGUGCUCAAAAUCAGAAGCCUCUGAGCUCGCUUCCCAGUCAAUUAUUUGAUCACAAUCUGUUUUACUUCAGAUACCCAAGACUGAUGCUCCGUCAAGUAACUGGGGGUCCAGACAGCUUAUCACAAAAUCAUUUGCCUUCCUUCUGCAUGGCAGCUUCUCCGGCCUGAAUUGGAACAGGCUGCUAAAUCUUGCCACCCCGUGAAUCGUUCUAACCUAGGACCUUGUUUGAUUGCUAAAUGGGAGAACAGUUUGUGACAUGCUCCCUAGAGAACAAUCAGCCCUACAAAGUAACCAGAGCACAUAACAGGUUGAAUCUAGAAAGCUUUCUUGUCUUCUCAGUUUCCUGAAGCUUGUAUAGGAAGCUGCUUUGCUGUUUGUCAGCAUUGUAUCUUGAACCCCGGGAGGGUUUCUCUGAAGCAGGAGUCACAGAAGCACUGGUAAGUAGGGUCUAACAAAGACAAACUUGGCAUUGAUAACACUUUCCUAUAAAUCCAGGAAGAGCACACACCAACUGCUGAAACUUCCUUAGCUUGACAAAGGGUUUUUGAACCCGAAAGCUUGCUUAAUAACUAUUCUCCAACUAUUUGGGUUGGUCUAAUAAAAGGUAUCAGAUACGCUGAAGGAACCUUGUCUGCCUAUAAAUCAGUGAUUCUCAACCAGGGUGCUGUAGCUGCCACAAGAUGCUUUUAGGGGUGGCACCCAGGAUCAGCACGGUUAGGUGUGCAAACACCUAUGCAUAAUUCAAAGAGACUUCAAAUAGGAAUCUCAGUACCCUUCAAAGGGGGCCUUGAGUCUAAAAAGGUUGAGACCCCUGCUGUAAAAGUAUGUUUUUAUUGACUAAUGCACUGCAUCUCUAUGCUACUCCUGCACGGCUCAUCCUGCCGCUCCAGGUUGUACAGACCAGUUUUAAAGAGGCUGCUUUCAGUAACGGAUGUGUUACUGCCAUGUGCCUCGCACCUUCUGGAAUAACUGCAAGGGUAUUUAUAAAUCAGAGCGUGGAAAGGUUUGAACCUGUGAUUUAUGGAGAGGCAACAUGGGAACCUGAAGCAGACCACCUGCUCCAGAGGGAAGAGAGGCUUGGUCCUCGCUAAGCACUCAGGCUAAGACUUCCUAGCCAUCAAGAACUGGGCUGCUUCCUGGGAAUCUUUUCCAAAGGAGGGGACCAGAAGGAACAAGCAGAAUAGCCAGGAGCAAACUAGAUGGCAACUAAACAAAUCCAGCAGACGUGGCCUUCUACAGAGGACUGGGUUCUUUCCUCCCACGUUAAACCCUGCAACAAGACUUAAAAAAUGCAGAAAGCCAGUAUUUCUGAGGUUCCCGCCUGCAUGCAAAUAAGCAAGCCGCCUGAAAGCUGCUUCUGUAGUACCCAUGGAGAUCUGUGGCACCAAGCAUGACAAAAAUGCCUUUGAUGUGACAUCAAAUGCCAACUGCAGGCCAGUCCCUGGGUACCUUUCAUAACGUUCGGGGCUUCUACAAGCAUCUCUUUUUAGUGCCUUCAAAAUGCUUUAGAAACAUUUCAGCCUCUCAUCUACUACAUGCGAUACAGAUCCCGAAGCCAAGCACAGAGUUAAGUGGCUGGCUUAAAGUCAUUUACUAAUGAACUGGAAGAGCCAAGAAUAGGAAGCUGAUGCGAUUGCCAGGCAGCCCCCAACCAGCGUUGCCUCUGCAAAUACCAGGUCAUGUCCAUCCCCCCCACCAGGAAGAGAACACUUGAGAGAAAUGUCAUCCCACAAGCCCCAUCAAAAUCUUAGUCAUCUUCCGCAAAGCUUCAUUAAACGCUGAAACUAGGUUAAACAACAACAAAAAAAUUAUUCCAAAUUCUCUCGUGAAAUUUGCCUUCAGUCGGCGCUCCACAAAGAAACAGCCACACAGCUCCAAGCGCGCAGAGGAAGAACGGAGAAGCACCGUGAGCAAAUUGCUUAGGAUGAAGCAGUUAAAAAAAGCCCACCUUGUGUGCCCUUUAAUUAUUUAGCGUGCUCAAAAUAUAUGCCUUCAAAAUCUGCAGAGUCAACGACGAGGGCAGCAGCAUACUGGGAACCAGCUGUCCUCUGCUUGCAACCCGGCACAUACAGAUUUAUAUUUUGAACCCAAUCGAAUAUAUACUUAAGUGCACUGUGCUGCCACAAGAUAAAAUUGCAGUACUCAAAAAUACGGGGUCUAAUACCUUCCUGAACUACAAUCUGCUUUUGUGCCUAUGAAAUAAAUCCAGUCUUAGGAACCUAGUAUUAAAUGGCAUUAUACUAAUUAUCCAACUUCACACAUGCAUGUGGUUUCCCCAAGUUAGCAGAUUUAUGACUCAUAUUUAUUUGCUCCUUUCAAAGCCAGGAUAUCCCGUUUCAUAUGGCAGGGAGAUUUUUCUUUCUAGCAUAAUCCAUUCUCAGGAAGUGAAAGCCAGAUCCAAAUAAUCUUAUAAAACUCAAAGCACUUUAUCAGACUGAGGCUUGCUCAACCGGCAUGAACGCAGAUGAACGCUGGAAGGCAAGGUAUGGACCAUCUACCUAGCGGGCGAGUCCAUGUCAGUGUAUUUCCCAUACCUAUAGAGAGAGCAGUUUCCCUGCCUAACUCUUUGUGGGCUAGUCGGUAACUUCUCAUUUUGCUGCACGAAAUUACCCCACCUGUAUUUGAAAUGCUGACAGUAAGAAUAAUUAUUCCAGCCUUGCAAUUCAGAUCAACCCACCCUCCAAAGAGUACAAGGCACUUCAGUGGUUCUGUGUAAGAACCAGCCUUCCUGCUGGAAAAUUUUUGGUUACAACCAAACGUGUGGAAGAUUCUUCUAGCAGAACAGCCCAUUCGAGCUGAAAGAGCUUGAGGCAAGUUUGCAGUCCUCAUUUGCUUAGUGGUUCCCCGGCGACGGUUUAAACACUCAGUGUUGUCCUGGGGAAAGUCAGUCCUCUAAAAAGUAUGUUUUUCUUGGGUUUGCACCAGUUAACUUGGAAAGAAAUUUAGAGACUUUUGGACAGUGGAACAUGAGGUUUAGUCUCUUUAGGUCCUUAAAAUGCAUGUCUGCCAUAAUAUUGCCUCCUCUCCUUGCAUUUACAGUUAUUAGUGCAUUUACUCAUCAAACAUACAUUAGAAGCUAUCUACAGGAAGCCCUGAAGAGCUGUCCAUGCAGAAAAGGAAACCAAAAGAUAUUAAGGGUCAGAGAGCUGGCACUAAUUUUUCAUUUUACGAAAAAAAGCCCUAGCAAGAUUCUCUCUGCAUCACAUUUAGCAUCGAUUGAACUGCCUUGAAAUGGAAACUACAAGUGCCUGGAUAAAAUCAAUGGGAAGGUUGUCUGGUUUCACCAUCACUUCAAUAAAGUGUCCCUGUAUCCUCUGCUGAAACGCUGCUUUUGUGGCUUCCUUAAGAAUACACCUUUGCAAAUCACAGCAGUUUUCAUCCAACCUGGCUCCGACGCCAGGGUCCAGUCCUGCAAUCCGUACUCACAGGUCGCCAAAGCCAUGUGAUUUUGGCCCGGACACCGGCCUUAAAGGCACCCAACCUUUGGAGAGACAGCUACUAAAGAAACAAAAGCCAGCUGAUUUCUGUCAAUGCCCGAUUAAUUUUGGAGACUUGGAUCCGGAACUCCCCUCCCUCCUAAAAGAUGUUAGCAUUAGGGAGAAAGUUGUAGGUUAUAUCACGCCACUUAGUUCUUAU